UACAGAGGGGGCAAGCGUUGUUCGGAUUUACUGGGCGUAAAGGGCGCGUAGGCGGUCUUCUAAGUCAGAUGUGAAAUCCCCCGGCUUAACCUGGGAACUGCGUCUGAUACUGGUGGGCUUGAGUGCGGGAGAGGGAAGUGGAAUUCCAGGUGUAGCGGUGAAAUGCGUAGAUAUCUGGAGGAACACCGGUGGCGAAGGCAGGUCUCUGGGCUGAAACUGACGCUGAGGCACGAAAGCGUGGGGAGCAAACAGG
rnacentral:rRNA from 1 species